GAUGAACGCUAGCGGCAGGCCUAAUACAUGCAAGUCGAACGGGAUUAAGAGGCUUGCUUCUUAUGAGAGUGGCGCACGGGUGCGUAACACGUAUGCAACCUACCCGAUACAGGGGGAUAGCCUCUCGAAAGAGAGAUUAAUACCCCAUAACAUAGAGUAUAGGCAUCUAUAUUUUAUCAAAGUUCCGACGGUAUCGGAUGGGCAUGCGGUUGAUUAGCUAGUUGGUGAGGUAACGGCUCACCAAGGCGACGAUCAAUAGGGGGUCUGAGAGGAUGUCCCCCCACACUGGUACUGAGACACGGACCAGACUCCUACGGGAGGCAGCAGUAGGGAAUAUUGGUCAAUGGGGGCAACCCUGAACCAGCCAUGCCGCGUGCAGGAAGACUGCCCUAUGGGUUGUAAACUGCUUUUGUACGGGAAGAAAUGUCACUAUGCGUAGUGAUUUGACGGUACCGUAAGAAUAAGGAUCGGCUAACUUCGUGCCAGCAGCCGCCGUAACAC
rnacentral:rRNA from 1 species